rnacentral:lncRNA from 1 species
GAGAAACGCUCUCUUGUCUCAGGUUCCACCAGGCACAGCUCUCAGUGCAGCAGCAAAGCUCAUUCCUGAUUGCUGUGCCGUUACUGCACUCUCCUCUGUGAGCUCCUUCUGCUCCUGUAGCUCUCCUCCCAUGGCACCCACUGCUCUCCUGUUCCCCCUUGGCUGGGCACUGCAGGCUCACAGUCUCCACCACGCAUCCGCUGUGCAGUAUUUCCAGAGGAGGUCUAUGGCCAACGUGUUCCUUUCGGGCUGAUUGUGUGCUUUUCUAUGCAGACAGGCAGGCAGGACUUCUUGCAGCUGUUGCACGUGCUGGGUCUCAUGCUCCGUCCUGCAGCUGUGCCUUAUCUCGUGUGCACUCUCCACCUCCCCCUGGUCAGAACGUCCUGGCCCUGCUGUGCUCUGCUCAGCAUCUGUCUGCUGCACAAUGACACAGCUGUCACACUGAGCCUGCCUUGUGCUAUCCCUGCAGAUGUUGGAUGAUUUCCUCUGCCACUCUCCCACCCGUAACCGCUCGGGUGCUUUCCAGCAGCACACAGCUGGCACACAGAGCCAUGCUGACCACGGCAGGGUGCAGCUCCUUGUUGCAGUCCCGCAGCGGUGGGUGUCCGUGCCAAAGGGGGAUCCCACCGCUGCUGCUCUCCAUCCUUCUGCGCUCGUUCUGCACCACCGUGCAUUCCUUCCUCCUCGUGCUGCGCUGCCCUCAGAGUGCUCUGCCCAUUUCUCGGGGUCGUUGCAGCAGCUGCUGCAAGUGCUGAUGUUGGAGCAGUUUCUUCCCCACCGCGAGAUCCCUUCCAAGAGGCACUGCCCCUACUGCUGCAACGGCCCCACUCUGCGACGCCCUUUUGUAAGGAGUUGUGUUGUUCGUUCUGCAGCUGACUUGGAUUUCUUCUGCCACUGUCCCGAGAAGGAGUUGAUUUGCUUCAGUCCAUCCCUGCUCCGUUCCUGGUUCAAGCCAAGCUCCAGUCCCUUCCCUGGUCUCAGUGGGAUCAGUUUGUUCUGUUCUCAUGCACUUACAGAAACAGAAGCUACCAACCCACCAAACCCUGGGACAGAAAACGCCGUCCUUUUGCUGAACUUUGCUCAUUGUACACCCGCCAUCACAGCAAAAAACGCUCAGUGCUGCCCUGGGAAACUCCGCAAUCUCCACAGCGUUGCUCUCCAAGUUAGCACGCUCAUGGCCAGGCUGUGUUCCCUG